GCUGGGUGUGGUGCUGCACACCUGUAAUCCCAGCAACUCGGGAGGCUGAGGCAGGAGAAUUGCUUGAACCUGGGAGGCGGUGGUUGCAGUGAGCUGAGAUAGCGCCACUGUACUCCGCCUGGGUGACACAGCAAGACUCUGUCUCAA
rnacentral:SRP_RNA from 1 species